rnacentral:rRNA from 1 species
GACGAACGCUGGCGGCGUGCUUAACACAUGCAAGUCGAACGGAAAGGCCCUGCUUUUGUGGGGUGCUCGAGUGGCGAACGGGUGAGUAACACGUGAGUAACCUGCCCUUGACUUUGGGAUAACUUCAGGAAACUGAGGCUAAUACCGGAUAGGAGCUCCUGCUGCAUGGUGGGGGUUGGAAAGUUUCGGCGGUUGGGGAUGGACUCGCGGCUUAUCAGCUUGUUGGUGGGGUAGUGGCUUACCAAGGCUUUGACGGGUAGCCGGCCUGAGAGGGUGACCGGCCACAUUGGGACUGAGAUACGGCCCAGACUCCUACGGGAGGCAGCAGUGGGGAACAUUGCACAAUGGGCGGAAGCCUGAUGCAGCAACGCCGCGUGCGGGAUGACGGCCUUCGGGUUGUAAACCGCUUUCGCCUGUGACGAAGCGUGAGUGACGGUAAUGGGUAAAGAAGCACCGGCUAACUACGUG